UACGGAGGGUGCGAGCGUUGUCCGGAAUCACUGGGCGUAAAGGGCGCGUAGGUGGCGCGAGUAGUCAACGGUGAAAGCCCGGGGCUCAACCCCGGGUCGGCCGUCGAUACUCUCGUGCUUGAGCACUGUAGAGGCAGGUGGAAUUCCCUGUGUAGCGGUGAAAUGCGUAGAGAUGGGGGAGAACACUCGUGGCGAAGGCGGCCAGCUAGACCAGUUCUGACACUGAGGCGCGACAGCGUGGGGAGCAAACAGG
rnacentral:rRNA from 1 species